GGACAAAAGUCCAAUCCGGUCAACCUUUUUUCCCCAACCUCACGCACAGCCCCUUCCUCUUUUCAUCUCUUCUUUUCCCUUCUUUCUUCUUUCCUUCAGCUUUCUUCUUCUUCUCCCUUUCUUCUUUCUUCUUUUGUUCUUCUGCCUGAGUGACCCACAGAGAGAGAAUGAGAGAGAGAGAUUGAGUGACUGAGAGGGGAAGAGAGACAGAGAGAGUGACGUGAGAGGGAGAGACCGAGAGAUGCUGAGAGUGAGAUGAGAUCGGGAGAGUUGAGGGAGGAGUCCGAUCCUCCGGUGGGUGGCGCCGACGAGACCAGAGGGCGCCGGCGACGCGAUCUCCGGUGAAGACCUGUGAAACUCGUAACCCAGAACCCCUCAGACCCGCGACCCGUGAGCUUAAACCCGUGCAACCCAUGGCCAAGUGACCCGAGACCCGUGAGGACCCGAUCCUCCAUGAUCGGUGGCCGGGACUGAAAUCCAGCGAUGGAGGAGCUUCGGCGGAACCCAGGGGCUUGAACCCGCAACCCGUGAGCCCAGAAAAUCCGAGGACCCGUGACCGUGACCUGUGCGACCCGUGACCCGCCUGACCCGAGAAGAAGACCCGAUUCUUCAUGGCGUUUUCCGGCGGCUUUUCCGGCGGUCCAGUAGCGAUUUCCGGUGGAUUUGUUGAGGAAAAUCCCUAAGGAUCGUGUUCGAAUUGGAGACUUUAAUUGGUUCUCCAAUGUAGAGUCCAAGUGACUAGAGUUCAAGGGAGUGUUCGAGUUGGAGUCCGAUGCAGCCAAGAUGAUGUUUCUUUGGCUGCAGGUACUACGGUAUAGUCGAUGGGUCGGUAGCAGUGUGCUUGGGAUAUUAUGACUGAAGCUCACCGCGACAGUUGUAAUUGUCGGACCACGGGUUGUCCACUAUUUUAUAGGUUUGGUAUGGCUUGUGACGUUUGUGUCACUUAUUCUUUGUUAAGCCAUUAUUGUUAUAGUGUUAAUAAGACUUAAGCAUAUAGAUGUUAAAUGGCUCUUUGUUGUAAUUAACUUAUGAUAGAUGUAUAAGUUGUAAUUUCCGCUAUUCA